GUGUCAGCAGCCGCGGUAAUACGUAGGAUCCUAGCGUUGUCCGGAUUUACUGGGUGUAAAGGGUGCGCAGGCGGACUUGUAAGUCAGGGGUGAAAUCUCGGCGCUUAACGCCGAAACUGCCUUUGAUACUAUAAGUCUUGAGUUUGGUAGAGAUCCGUGGAAUUCCGAGUGUAGCAGUGAAAUGUGUAGAUAUUCGGAAGAACACCAGCGGCGAAGGCAGCGGAUUGGGCCAAUACUGACGCUCAGGCACGAAAGCAUGGGGAUCAAACAGGAUUAGAUACCCUGGUAGUCC
rnacentral:rRNA from 1 species